rnacentral:rRNA from 1 species
CCUACGGGGGGCUGCAGUGGGGAAGAUUGGGCAAUGGGCGCAAGCCUGACCCAGCAACGCCGCGUGAAGGAAGAAGGCUUUCGGGUGGUAAACUUCUUUUAAGAGGGAAGAGCAGAAGACGGGACCUCUUGAAUAAGCCACGGCUAACUCCGGGCCAGCAGCCGCGGUAAUACGUAGGUGGCAAGCGUUGUCCGGAUUUACUGGGUGGAAAGGGCGUGCAGCCGGGAAGACAAGUCAGAUGUGAAAUCCCGCGGCUCAACCGCGGAACUGCCUUUGAAACUGUUUUUCUUGAGUACCGGAGAGGUCAUCGGAAUUCCUUGUGUAGCGGUGAAAUGCGUAGAUAUACGGAAGAACACCAGUGGCGACGGCGGAUGACUGGACGGCACCUGACGGUGAGGCGCGAAAGCGUGGGGAGCAAACAGGAUUAGAUACCCUGGUAGUC